GACGAACGCUGGCGGCAUGCCUAAUACAUGCAAGUCGAGCGAACGGAUGAAGUGCUUGCACUUCUGACGUUAGCGGCGAACGGGUGAGUAACACGUAAGGAAUCUACCUAUAAGCGGGGGAUAACAUUCGGAAACGGGUGCUAAUACCGCAUAAUAUCUUCUUCCGCAUGGAAGAAGAUUGAAAGACGGCUCUGCUGUCACUUAUAGAUGACCUUGCGGUGCAUUAGUUAGUUGGUGGGGUAACGGCCUACCAAGACGAUGAUGCAUAGCCGACCUGAGAGGGUGAUCGGCCACAUUGGGACUGAGACACGGCCCAAACUCCUACGGGAGGCAGCAGUAGGGAAUCUUCCGCAAUGGGCGAAAGCCUGACGGAGCGAUGCCGCGUGAGUGAAGAAGGCCUUCGGGUCGUAAAACUCUGUUAUAAGAGAAGAACAAAUUGUAGAGUAACUGCUACAGUCUUGACGGUAUCUUAUCAGAAAGCCACGGCUAACUACGUGCCAGCCGCCGCUGUAA
rnacentral:rRNA from 1 species